AUAUUUUUCAAAACUGCUGGUCCUGCAAACUCAGCCUGAGUUUUAAAAAAUGAAAGUUCUGUGCUCCUGUGCCCAGAGCAUCAUACAUAGUCAGGAAAAACUAGUGGAAGUGGAAAGAAGUGGAAUUUUGGCUCUAUCUCAUGCUUCUAGAACUGAAAACAUGUCUUUUGGUUUUUAUUUUUUACUCAGAGUCAUACUUUUUCUUCUGUACCAAAUUCUAGCAAUUUGAUUAUUUGGAAAAUACAACCAAGGUUUGGUGCUCGAAACACGUUGAGUCCUGGCUACAGUUGUGGAAUGAAUCUCAAGAAUGACAGGAAGCAAGCUUUUUCCUCACUCUUUUUUCCAGAGUACUAUAGUACGUCUGGUUUCAUGCAAAGUCUCUGAAGCCCAUGGGAAUGUCACUGAUGUGGUGCAGUGUGAAACCGGCACUUGCAUUGUAUCUGUAACUCUGUACAAUGAACAGAUUUGGGGUUUAUAUCCAGUAUUGUAUUUCUACCAAUUGACAAAUCCAGUCUAUUAAUUUUCAUCCAUUCAAUACAUAGCCAAAGGCUUUCUUGGAACUGAUGGUGAAUUUAUUAAGACUAGUAGCUGGCCUUUGUGUUUGCAUCUGUAUUCUCAUUCCUAAAAAUAUUGGUUUUGUCUGUCGAUUGCAGGAGGGAUUGACUUUGAGGUUUGGGAACUGAGAAAACCUGCUGUACAGGAAAGAAUGAUAUUCCUAUCACUGCCUUCGGGGAUAAUUUGAGGUACAAGCUGUCUGGUUUCUGUUGGAGAGCAGCAAUGAGAUCUAUCGUAUUUAUUUUUCCUCACUGCAUCCUUCAGAUAUCCUAGUAAAACCCUUCUCUGUUUAGACAUCUGGCUUCAUCUCAUUAACUUGAUGAGCCUCGAUGCUCCAUUCAUCCAUUUCUCCCAUAAACAGCUCUGUGUAUCAUUUUCCUGCUGCCUCCUUUUCUCAGGAUGCAUGCUUAUUGUCCUGGUUUUUGGCUGGGAUAGAGUUAAUUUUCACAAGAAGCUGGGAGGGGACACAGCCAGGACAUAUUCAAUACCAUGAUGACAUGCUCAGUAUAUAAGGGGGGAGCUGGCUGGGCAAGAGGAGUUGCUGCUUGGGAACAGGCUGGGCAUCAGGUUCCACGCAGUGAGCAAAUUGCAUUGUGGAUCACCUGCUUUGUAUAUUCUAAGUACUGUUGUUGUUAUUUUCCUCUUCCUUUGCUGUCCUAGUGAACUGUCCUUAUCCCAACCCAUGAGGUCGGUACUACAUAUAGGGCUACAGCUUGAUCUCACUAAAUAUCAUCUUUUUCUUCCAAUUCUCCUCUCCAUCCCACCGGGGGGGAGUGAGCGAGUGGCUGUGUGGUGCUUAGCUGCUGGCUGGGACUAAACCACAACACUUACCUACAAAUUUCUACUCCUUCCUAGCUUAAAUCUCACCUAAAAAUUCAUUUAAGACUGCCCAUGGUAAGCAAAGUAAUAACAAUCUUUGUGUUAGCUCCUCAGCUAGCAGAUUUAAUAAUGGGCUUACAUUUUUUGGAGCCUUGAGUCAGAUUUGACUCUGGAAAGGUAAAACUGCUGUGCUGAGAUGCUCUCUCUUACAGGUAGGCAACAUCAAGGGCUGUCAUAAAAGAACUGUUAAUUUCCCAGGGAUUUUAGAUCACUUGUGUCUUUGGUCUGAUGGAUUUGAAAUCUCUGGCAAUUAGAAUAAAUUCCUUUACUUCCCAAAAUUAAAGCUGAAUUUUCCCAUGCCCCAUUCAAUAAGGGCAAGGUUUUACUCUGAAGAUUGCAGGAAUCUCUCUCUCACACACACAUAAGGAGACAGGUCUCUUCCUCUUAUAAAACUUGAUAAAAAGGACCAUUAUUAUCCUUGCAGUCUUCAAUGCAUUCUGCACUUUCUUAGUUGGCUCAACUUCCAUUUCUCUAAUCCUUUAAAAUUCUUCAAGGACAGGCUGGGGAAGAAUGGAUAAGCAUCUAUUAUUGUUGUGGUACUUUAUUGUUCUGCAUGAAAUGAAGCCUUGCUACCUCCAAAGUCCUAUUUCCUUUCCUUUCCAGGGCAGUGGCUCAAAAUAUUUUAAGAGGUACAUUUUUCUGUUUAACUAUAUCUGUGCUGUGCCGGUAGCAUGCAGUGCAGUGAGAUGAAAGGUUUGUUGCAUACCACACUUAGAACAGGAUGUCAGCUCUGCACCGGUCCUCAGUAGCAUCUGUAGGAAUGCCACCACAGUGACAAUAACAGAUGACAGGAUAGAGCUGGGAGGUAGCAGCGGGGUUCAGUAGUCUUCUCUGCCUUCAGUUUCCUUCUUUUUUUUUGUUUUGGGCUAGAUCCCAAACAGAUGAGGUCCAAACAGGAUGGAAAUGUUGCUGCAUGGGAGGGUCAGGAAUGGGAGAGAGGGAAUGGGGGAGACACUAGAAGACAGUGUGGGGGUGCACACACCUGGGCUGUCCCAAGCUGAGAAGCUCCAGGUGAUGGUGACUGAGCUGAGGCUGCCUAGGUGGAGUACAGGCACAGGCAGAGAUAUACCAUCUCCCCAUCCUCCUGUGGCCUGUCACAGCUCUGAGGCUUCAGUGGCUUUGCCCCCAGUGACAGAGGACAGGGAGCUCUGUACUGGAGAGUUUGGUGAGCUCCUGGGUGUCUUUUGGGCUGGGCCUGAGAAACCUGUUCAGCACCCACUCAGCAAGUACUGUCUGCUGGUCCCUCCCUCAGUGCUGUCUCUGCAGCACUCCUGUUAAGACCCUGAGUGGGGCGAUGUGGCACAGGGGAUUUUGGAGCACCAGCAGGUCUUGCUUCCUGACUAGGGCUGAUGGAGCAUUGGAGGCUCAGGACCUGAGCUAGCAGCUCUGCCCAAGGACCUGAAAUCUAAUUCCACACAAGUCCUUGGAAAGUGUUGAUCCAAGACUAGCUCUACUGUUAGGAGCGGACUGGUAGUUGAAUGUAGUAACAAGUGACUCAUCGUGUCCUGGACUCCCGUUGCCUACUGCUUUGACCCUUCUACACUGUCACUGACUUUGGAGAAGUUACUCAGAGUAUGAAGUCCUGUAACUUUUCAUAGGAAUAUCUGUUACUCUAGAGAUGAGCAUUUGUCCUUUUAUUCACCUCAGGAUAGAUGCUAGACAUAAAGGCUGGUACUCUGAGGUCUGUCUGUGGUGUCCACAAGACAUGCUGUGUUAAUGGAGCCCUUUGUGCCAAGUCAAACCUGGAAGUCUCCUCCUUUUUGAUUUUUACCAAUGUUAAGUAAUGCCCAAGGGGGAUUCAAAUCACAUCAAACAAAGCUCUGGGCUGAAUUCUUUCAAUGGUCCAUCACUGCUAACUGAUAAAUCUAUUACAUAAGCAGGAAAGCCAUGUGGGACAGAGGAUGUUCAACAGAAGUUGUAUAGAUAAUCCAUAAACGCUGUCCUGCUGGGAAACAGAACAGAAAACACUGCUGCUUUGGCAAUGAAAGAUCUGAGGAUAACACACCAAAUUCUCAACAAACCUACACCUCCUGUUGCAUCAGAAGGAGCCCCGGUGUUUUCCAGCCCUCCAGGAGGGAGCUGGCACAGCCCCAAGCUGGGGUGCUGUAUAGAAGAAUUCAGGAGUCACUGGGCCCAAGAAAAAGAGCUGAGUGCCUGAAGGAGACCCCAAACCAAGGGACAUUACCAACAUGCUGAAACUUCUUGACUAUGGUGAAGAUGUCCCUGUGCCUCCACGAUAUCCAGCGCUCUGGGAAUCUCUUUCUUUCAGCUUCUGAAAGGAGCUGGGUGCCAAAUCAGCAAAGAAAUACCCAUAGCUCCUGACCAAUGAGCACAUCUAACAGACCUGAUGAAGGCCAGGAGAAAGAGACAUCCAUGGGGAAGCUGAACAAAUGAAGAGUGAUGUUCAUCCAAGAGAAACCUCUAACACUGUAACACUGUCUUUUUAUAAAAGAGCUAUGGGACUAGAGCUCUUGAUUCACAUAGUGAGACUUGUAUGACAAUAACUAGACAAGGAAACAAGCAAACAAAACAUUUUAAGAAAAAGCAGUGUUUGCUUUCAUCUCACCGCAGUGCUAGCCUUGCUAUUAGUUGUGACGUUCUCCUGUUUUCAGACCAAUGAAUAUGUUAAACUGUUUCGUAUAUAAUUUCUGGCACCAUGUCAGCUUCUAAGAUCACUUGAAAGGGAGAUCAGUGGGAAGAAUGCCACAGCAGAGCUUGGAAAAUCACAUUGCAAGUCUCUUGUUUUUCCUCUCCUCCGGCCUUUGCGCACUCCUGCAAGAAUCCUGGCUGGCAAAGGAGACACAGGGCUGUUAAACUUGAGGCAAUGUCAGCCACGCUCUUUAUGAGUGAGUUGUGCUUUGUGGCGUGAGGUGCUCACCUCAGUGCUGCAGUUGCACACAUCCUUGUUUGGACCUGCUGAGUCCCUGGCAGCAUCUCUGUUGUCCUAUGGCUGUUUGUUUUCCUUUGAUAUUUAUGCUCUCAGGUGCUCUAUUUGUGUUGCAACUUGGGGUUUGGUUUUUUUCCCUUCUUCCCUGUAGCUCUGUUAGCAAAAGAAAUCUACCAGCACUUCAUUCAUCACUUUUUUUUUCUUCUUCCGUGGCAAAUAUAUAUAAAUAAAUAAAUCUUUGUCAAGGGAACUCUAAUGGUAUGUUCCUGUGUGGAUAAUUACUACUUCCCUGUCAGCAAAAGGUUAUAAAAUUUUUUCUUUUGGGAAAAUGCAGUAGAGACUUUUUUCCUGGCAGGCAAAUAUUGUACAGAUGUUCUGCUCUGGAUAAUACAGCUGAAAUGCUCCUUGUAGGAUAACCUGACAUAAAUGCUUCUGUAAGGCAGAUUUCUGUGUCACUGAAAGACUGUUGACUGUUUUCCUAGGAGGAAAAAAAGCCUUCUAUGGUUUCCUCCUACUGGGAAAACAUUCUUCAGGCACCUGGUUCUGUCCGGAAAAUACAAAUAAAAAUGCUAU